GACGAACGCUGGCGGCGUGCUUAACACAUGCAAGUCGAGCGGUAAGGCCCUUUCGGGGGUACACGAGCGACGAACGGGUGAGUAACACGUGGGUGACCUGCCUUUAGCUCUGGGAUAAGCCUGGGAAACCGGGUCUAAUACCGGAUAUGACUCCGCGGCGCAUGUUGUGGGGUGGAAAGCCUUGUGCGGCUGGAGAUGGGCCCGCGGCCUAUCAGCUUGUUGGUGGGGUGAUGGCCUACCAAGGCGACGACGGGUAGCCGGCCUGAGAGGGCGACCGGCCACACUGGGACUGAGACACGGCCCAGACUCCUACGGGAGGCAGCAGUGGGGAAUCUUGCGCAAUGGGCGAAAGCCUGACGCAGCGACGCCGCGUGAGGGAUGACGGCCUCGGUU
rnacentral:rRNA from 1 species